rnacentral:rRNA from 1 species
AGUGAACGCUGGCGGCAGGCCUAACACAUGCAAGUCGAACGGCAGCACAGGAGAGCUUGCUCUCUGGGUGGCGAGUGGCGGACGGGUGAGGAUAGCGUCGGAAUCUGCCUAUUUGUGGGGGAUAACCUCGGGAAACCGGGACUAAUACCGCAUACGACCUACGGGUGAAAGCGGAGGACCUUCGGGCUUCGCGCAGAUAGAUGAGCCGACGUCGGAUUAGCUAGUUGGCGGGGUAAUGGCCCACCAAGGCGACGAUCCGUAGUUGGUCUGAGAGGAUGAUCAGCCACGCUGGAACUGAGACACGGUCCAGACUCCUACGGGAGGCAGCAGUGGGGAAUAUUGGACAAUGGGCGCAAGCCUGAUCCAGCCAUGCCGCGUGGGUGAAGAAGGCCUUCGGGUUGUAAAGCCCUUUUGUUGGGAAAGAAAAGCAGCCGGUUAAUACCCGGUUGUCAUGACGGUACCCAAAGAAUAAGCACCGGCUAACUUCGUGCCAGCCGCCGCGGUAA